GUGCGGUCCAGGGGGAGGCGGGCGGAGGGAAGCGCCGCUGCCGCCACUGCCGCCGCUGCCGCCACUGCCGCCGCCUCACCCGCGGCGACACAGACGCCGGGAGCGGCCGAGGCGCCUCUUCGAUAGGACUCCUCAGGAGGAUCAAAGAGCUCCCUCUGUUUUCCUGCCUGGGCCCUAACUGAUUCAGAAGCACUUUGCCACGGCUUCACCACACCGUGUCUGCUCCAGAGUGGAGAGAGAAGCUGAUGGCUCUGAUGAUAUGCGAUUCCGUGCCAACUCCUGAGUGACUUCUUCUGACUUGAGCUGGCAGUGUGCUUUGAGAGAUCUACCACAGGAAAUACCUGCCUGCAGUGACAGGAACAGCAAGAUGGAAUAGCUUCAUUCUGAGGUCUAGGGUAAGGGAAAGAGGAAGAUGGCUCUCCCUGCCGUAAUUGCCUUCGUGAGACGGAGAAGAGAAAGGGAGACAAGUGAAAAGAAGACGAGAAAGAGACUGCAUAACAGGCCCUCUGGUGGCUUUCAGCUUCUCAGAAAAGGAGUGUGAACGGAAAGAUCCGAAAGAACUCCAGAUGUCCAUGGGGCCAAGGAGUGCAUCAUCAUAAUUCCAGACAGGUCUUAAUGAUUCCCCAGCCAUCUCGGGAACAGUCCCCUUGACUUUCAGCUUGGAUAUAUUUAACUUUGUACAUCCUAAUGAUUGCUAUGUAUAUGUGUGUGUCACACACACAAUAUCUUAUUCUGUAUUAUGACAUAUUGUGACAGUUGUGUUAAAUUUGUUGCUUUAUAUAUUUUUCUCCACUCCUGCCUCUUCUACUCCACCCUUUCUACUCCGUGGGUGGUCCGGGGACCAGCAGCAUCAGCCUCACCUGAGAGCUUGUUAGAAAUGCAGCAUCGCAGGUCCCACUCUCAGACCUGAUGAGUCAGAAUCUGCAUUUUAACAGGAUUCCCAGGGAUUCUCCUGCAUUUGAAUCUUUGAGAAUUGAUGUUUUACAUAAUGACUGUUUCAUUUUAUUUUUUUUUAGCCAACUGUGCUUUUAAUAAUGAGAUUAAAAUCCUUCAAAGUCAAAAUAUUGUGAAGGUAACCCUACUUUAAGAUUAGACCAGAUAUAGUGCACACAAUUAAGGCAUUUAAACGCAUUUUCUAGUUAAAUUAUUGAAUUUAUCAUUGAUAAGCGUAUUUAAAGCUUCUUAUUUUCAAAUUCUUUGAGUUUUGCGUUCUUAGCUCUCACAAACCUUGGCUCAUUCUUGUAGCACGGACUUUUCCAUUGCUUCAUCUUAUAAAGAGAUUUCUCAGACGUGUGAAGCCUUCCUCCUGUGGGCAAUUGUGUCUUCUUCUCCAUUUUGGUUUUAGCUCAAGCAACCGGUACCUGCAUGAAGCUUCUGUUGAUGCUUCAAAACCUGGCCUGAAAGGUUCUAGCAAGGACCCAUCCCUCUGUCAAGGUUCUCGCCAAAAGACCCUCAGCUUUUGAAUUUUCCCAACAUUGAGUAUCUUGUAAUGCAAUGAUAUGGGACUCUGCUGUCAGAAUUCUAGUUUUCUCUAUUUUUUUCUCAAUUUCCAAUAAAGGUUAAUUUACAUUUAUCCCAA
ensembl:lncRNA